GACGCAACGCGAAGAACCUUACCAAGGCUUGACAUACACCGGAAAGCAUUAGAGAUAGUGCCCCCCUUGUGGUCGGUGUACAGGUGGUGCAUGGCUGUCGUCAGCUCGUGUCGUGAGAUGUUGGGUUAAGUCCCGCAACGAGCGCAACCCUUGUCCCGUGUUGCCAGCAGGCCCUUGUGGUGCUGGGGACUCACGGGAGACCGCCGGGGUCAACUCGGAGGAAGGUGGGGACGACGUCAAGUCAUCAUGCCCCUUAUGUCUUGGGCUGCACACGUGCUACAAUGGCCGGUACAAUGAGCUGCGAUGCCGUGAGGUGGAGCGAAUCUCAAAA
rnacentral:rRNA from 1 species